CAGUAGCCGCGGUAAUACAGAGGAUGCAAGCGUUAUCCGGAAUGAUUGGGCGUAAAGCGUCUGUAGGUGGCUUUUCAAGUCCGCCGUCAAAUCCCAGGGCUCAACCCCGGACAGGCGGUGGAAACUACCAAGCUGGAGUACGGUAGGGGCAGAGGGAAUUUCCAGUGGAGCGGUGAAAUGCGUUGAGAUCGAAAAGAACACCAACAGCGAAAGCACUCUGCUGGGACGACACUGACACUAAGAGACGAAAGCUAGGGGAGCAAAUGGGAUUAGAUACCCGUGUAGUCCCUGUCUCUUAUAC
rnacentral:rRNA from 1 species